GUGAAGAACGCAGCGAAAUGCGAUAAGUAAUGUGAAUUGCAGAAUUCAGUGAAUCAUCGAAUCUUUGAACGCACCUUGCGCCCUUUGGCCAUUCCGAAGGGCAUGCCUGUUUGAGUAUCAUGAACACCUCAACUCUUCAUGGUUUUCCAUGAUGAGCUUGGACUUUGGGGGUCUUGCUGGCCUGUGGGUCGGCUCCUCUCAAAUGAAUCAGCUUGCCGGUUUUUGGUGGGCAUCACAGGUGUGAUAACUAUCUACGCUUGUGGUUUUCCACCAGGGUAACCUUCAGCAGUGGAGGUUCACUGGAGCUUACAAAUGUCUCUCCUCUGUGAGGACAGCCCUUUGAAUGUUUGAUCUCAAAUCAGGUAGGACUACCCGCUGAACUUAAGCAUAUCAAUAAGCGGAGGA
rnacentral:misc_RNA from 1 species